GCCCCUUUAUCCAGCCUGCAGCUUUCUUGACCUUUCCUUUUGUCCUCUCGCAUUCAUCCAUGCCUGGUUGAUUCUCCGUGUGCUUGUUUGUCCUGCCCACUUGUCAUUUUGCCUUCGAGAAAGAUUUUACUAGGAUCGAAACGUCAGACCCUCCAUGUUUUGAGAUUCUUGCACGAGUGACUACGAAAGAAUACCAUCUGACUGCCUGAGAGGUUCUGCUGGCUUUUCUCUUACCUGUCGCCAUUGCCUUAGUACCGUCUUCAGUUUUUGUCGCUUUUCCACUUUUCAACAGUGCGACGAGCCUGCAAGUUUCUUUGUGGAAGUCCUUACAAGUUUAUAUAGAGGUGCCCCCUCAGCUGUAGCACCCUAGUUACGCCACUGUUUAUCAGUCGCCAUCGGCAUUUGAUUCUGUACCUCGUAUAAAGAGCAUCCUAAUCUACCUCUGCUGACAAGAACUGCACCGGGCCAGCUCAACUGAAUGAUAACAUGGAGGAUUAUAAGCCCAUCAGUAUAAUAUAGUUGUUCCGAAAUGGUUCCGAAGCCCUUCAUCAUGGUUAGGCUACAUUGUAAAGUUACCGGUUGUUGCCAGGUCACGCCGAUUGUGAUUGACCACGUUGUUGACAGUCGGCCGCUGACGUCAGCCAGGGGGGACUGCUGCCAGUGUCAGGCAUUGCCGUCAAGUCCAACACAAGGCUGCUCAGAAUCUCGACAAUUUUUUGCCAAGACGUCAAUUUAGGUAGGUUACGGCAAGCUUCGAGAAUCACACGCCUAUGACCAUACCACUUUAAAAACACCGGUUCUCGUCCGAUCACCGAAGUUCAGCAGCCUCGGCCUUGGUUAGUUCUUACAUGGGGGACCGCCUGGGAAUACCAAGUUUCGUAGGCCUCUUUUUUUAAUCAAUUUUUUCAAAGGUUGUAUAUUUGUAUGCUUUUCUGAAAGUCUUGAUCUAAUCCAUGUUAUUCGCAUAAGCGAAGCACCUAGGACGUUUUUAUUGCCCUAAAGUCCACAGUCGGUUUUCCUGAUUAUGAAAGAGUCAAGUCAGAAUUGAGGAUGCUCAGAAUCCAAACAAUUUCUUUGCAAGCCAGCGUUCAGGUAUGGGAUACGUUGAAAAUGGAAAAAAAUGAGGAUUUGGUUGAAGUUCAACUAAUGUUUAGUUUGUAUAAAGGUCAUUUUUUGGCAAUUUAUUUGGCCACAGAAGUACAAGAGUUGUAGCUCAGUCAACUCGCGUUCAAUCUUUUAAAGGAGUGCGAUCGCAUUUAGUUUAACUGUAAAUAAAGCAGAGCAAAUGAAAAGAGAAAAAUGAACAACGUACUAUCCUCCUUGCAGUGUUUAGGCCUAAUUAAAUUAUGCGAACCGCAAUUCGACAGCCAGCCAAAAUCCAAUUAAGUGAAUACUAGAGUCCGGGAUAAACUUCUUAAACUCCGAUUUAUUCUGUGUUGUUACUGAACACGGAGUGAAACUGAAAUAUAAAGCGAGAACAAACUAAGUAAAUUAGACUGUGUCCUAAAUAUAUGUAGGCCCUACGUGUAAACACAUGCAAUACAUGUAGCUAAACUACAUAAACCGUGGGAGAAAAAUGACAGAAAAAAAAUGUUCGCAAAUAUGGAUCUAACUGUGAGAAACAUGAAUAAAUUAGAGAGAAAAAUACAUGUACCUCGAUAUAAUGUGAAAGUCUCCUCAACCAGUUGUAAAAUGUUACGCAGCAGAAAGUUUCCAAGAAACUAAGGCCCAAAAUCGCUUAUAAAUUCUAUAAUGAUUUAUAUAACGACCAAGAUUCCAAGGAGAGUAACUUACUUACAGGCAAUGAUUGCAAAAACGUAAAGCAAGGUUGGCAAUUUGGAACUUCAUCCCAAACGAUGUGGAUCUGAGCAAAACGUGAGCGAGUUUUCUAGACAACAAUAAGCAUAUAAACAAUUUUACAAUCAAGAGAGGGCGCCAUACAUAAAACUUGGACAGGUGUUCCAUAAACGAUGUAAAGAGCAAAAUGAGUAAUGGAAAGAACAAUAUAAACAAUGAAAAGAGCAAAAUGAGCAGAGAAAAGAGCAAAUCACGAGCAGUGAUAUACAUAUUCAUGUCUUAUAUACAUUAUGUAACGAACGAUUUCAUUUGUUUCUUGUCAUUUAAAUCAUCCAUCCAAGGGCCGACAUGAAUGUUAUUUCUGCAGUCAAACCCCGGCUAUGAGUGUCACCAGCGUAACACAUGCUUUGGAUGGAAGUCUUAUCUAGAGAGGUACAUAGAAAAUAUCCACGCUGAAGAGGAAUCAGACAUAAAUGAAGUUGACGAUGAUUGAGAACUUUUUGAGUUUGAUGACGAAACCUCCGAUAACUAUUGGAAGACAAUGCCACCUACCAAGAUUGGCUGACUGAAGCGAAAUAAGGAGUUGUGGGAUGAAAAAUAUGACAAGUAGGCAUGGAUGAAGGUCAAGCCAGGCAAAAGGCAAACAGAAGGACCCUCUGGGCAGUCAAGCAAAAUUUUUUCGACAACUAUAAGGAGUUUCUGUCAAGUUGCCUACAUUUUAAUUUUUAACAUUGUGGAUGAUAUCGAAGAAAAACUUAAGCUUCUGGACUUCACUAUUGUAGUAAUUCUUAAAAUUAGUAUGAUAAUUGUAAAAAAAUCAAUGACGAAAAAGGAGAAAUAAAAACACCACUUAAACCAGUACCUGAAGUCUACUGAAUUUUAUGUGUGUUA